CGUCUCCAUAAUGCUGUGGAAGGAUACAGAAUUGCUGCUUCUGUUUAUUUUUCCAUUGAUUUCAGCCCAGAACUCUGAACUACCUGCAGUAAUGGACAGUGACAUUCUCACCGAAUUUGCUUACCAAGCUGGGCCAUCGCACUUGAGUCUGAUCCUGCUGGCUCUGACCGUGGGACUGUCCGGCAGCGUUUACCUCUGUGUGCUGCGGUACAUUUGCACCGGCUGCUGCCAGCCUGUAGUUGUCGGACCUGAAGAUGAGAGCAUGUCAGGUGUGGUGUGAUAGAAGCUUUUGUUUGAAAGAGAGUGUGCAUUCAUGACUGUGAGAUUGGUAUGUGUGUUCAAGCACUUAUGUUGGUCUUCUUUAGUGCUGAAAUAGACAUCAAUGUUCAGGCGUUCACAAGGCGUUGCCAUAUUUAAGUUAUAUGGUUGAAAACAGUGGAAAUCUGGUCAAAUAUUCCUGUUAUUUUCAAAAUAAAACCGCAACGUUUCAAUCAGAGAUCACUGAAAAUCUCUGAUUAAAAUGUUAUUGUUUUAUUUUAGUUGAACAGUGCAGAUUUUUGGUGCAGUUUUCCAUUUCGGUCGUGCACCUGUUGAAGAUGUUUUGGAUGUGCGUAUUUCCCCCUCUUUUCUAUUUAAGUAUUACACAUUGGUUGAGGAAUGCCCCUAUGUUUUUAUGUUCCCAUGUUCCUUAUGAAAUACUUAAAUAUAAAUCACACUUUUUCAUUCAUGUAACAGAGUGUAAGGGUCAUCUAAAGGACAUCAGAAUGUUUGAGAAUUUGUAUAAUAAAUAGCUUAUCGCUUGUUACUCACUUGAGAUAAAAGCAUCUGCCAAAUGACUACUUGUAAAUGUGAAAUUCACAGCUCUAAAGCCUGACUGUAUGUUGGCAGUAAAAUAAUUCAUUUAGCAUCUACGGAGACAAGCAUUUGACUAUACGGAUGACGCAAGUGUUGACCGAAUGAGAGGGAGGAGUAAACCAUUUUAGCAGGUUUGGAUGGAUGCUCUGUCAGUCAAGAGAAAUCGCUCACAAAUCCGCUGCAAUACCACACACUGUACUUUAAAUGAAUGUAUUAAGAGCUUUUGUAAAAACAAGGUAAAACAAUUAUCAAGCCAUUUGAAACCAAAUAUUAUUUUCAUGUCAACAUCUCUUGUUUAAUUAAGUAGGAUGCUCCCUGAGGAAGUGAUCAGUCAGUUGCAGAAACUGUUGCCAAGGGCUACUGCUGGAUCUAGUUGCCAUGGAAAUAGUUGCAUCUGUUUUCCUCUAGAUGGGGCUGUCACAUCAGCUGUUCAGCUCACCUAUCUGCAAGUAUUCAAAAUAUCUGCUACUUUAGAUGUUAUAGAACAGUUUAAUGUUGUGUGUUUUCUAGUGUCAAACAUAUUCAUUUUCAUUGCAAAUGCAUUGUCUUUGUGCAUAUGGAUAUCACACCA
rnacentral:lncRNA from 1 species